ensembl:lncRNA LINC00598 long intergenic non-protein coding RNA 598
UGGGCAAGUCUGGUUGCUGUGGCAGUAUUGAGUCAGCCACAGUGAGUCAAGAGAAAGUCACCUUUGGCGCUACCACCAUUGCCAGCAAGAGGUCCUUCUUUCUCAGAGAAAAGAUGGCUAUCCCGCCCAAUGUUUGGCCCCCUCCUGCAAAGGCCAAAACAUUCGUUGGGUUUUUCCUUUACUGUCUAAAUAAAGAAGAAUUUGUGCACAGUCUGAGUGGGUCAGGAUUUCAUCCCAUGGCCAUGUGGGAGCUCCAAGAUUUGAUCUCCGGGCUGACCUGUGCAAGCAUCCUGCCUCAUUCCAUUUGGCUGAAGCUCCUGCUCCACUUCUUGCUGGGCUGUGACCAUUCAGGAUCCCCCACUGUCCACCAGAGUCAGCACCUAAAAGGAGAGAAAAUCUUUUUCUGUCUGGUGUUUUUCAAAAUUUUGAUGAUGGACUCACAUCAAGGAUGAAGAGCUUUGAUGUCAUUUGAACACCACCACCAUCACCACCACCAGCAUCAACAAACAAACAAGCAAACAAGCGUGAACUCAGGAGCCCUGUGGCCCAGCCUCCAGUCCAUUUCCUCACUGUGAUCUGGCUAAGUCACCUCCCCUCCACCUCAGUUCAGUCACCUACACAACAGGAAUGGUGGCUCCUGGCGUGAAAAGUUCUUAGGAGCAUUCAGCAUGAUGCUGUGUGGAGCACUUGGAAACUGCGUGUGCAUCACCUCAUAUUUCUGGCCACAGGUCAUUCAGACAUCUGCCCUUUGCCCUGGAGGAGAACCACUAGGGACUUGUGCCCAUAAGCACCAAUUCUGGCUUUUACCCUACCCAUCCUUUGCCAUCCCAAACUAUGCCAUCAACAAAUUCUAGAAAUCAAGUUAGAAAUGCUGUUCCCACGAGGGUCUCUGUGGUCUCUCAGAACAACAAUCAGCUGGCCCUGCUGGGCAGAUGUUGCCCAAUCCUAACCCACACUUAGCUAUCAACUUAAUCAUUCUCAACUAAAAACACCUACCUGAACACUUUUAGGGGUUAAGAAUAGUAUAAUCUCACUUAGCCAUUUGCAUUUUUUCUUCUUUUUACAAAAAGAAAUUUAUCUUUUUUUUUUUUUGAGACGGAGUCUUGCUCUGUUGCCCAGGUUGGAGUGCAGUGGCGCAAUCUUGGCUCACUGCAAGCUCCGCCUCCUGGGUUAGCGCCAUUCUCCUGCCUCAGCCUCCCGAGUAGCUGGGACUACAGGUGCCUGCCACCACGCCUGGCUAAUUUUUUUGUAUUUUUAGUAGAGACGGGGUUUCACCGUGUUAGUCAGGAUCGUCUUGAUCUCCUGACAUCGUGAUUCGCCCUCCUCAGCCUCCCAAAGUGCUGGGAUUACAGGCGUGAGCCACUGCGCUCUGCCAAGAAUAGUAUAAUCUCACUUAGCCAUUUGUAUUUUUUCUUCUUUUUACAAAAAGAAAUUUAUCUCAUUAUUAUGUUUAAUCAGUUUCUUGAGGUAUAACUUAAGUGUGCUAAAAUUUGCUCUUUUUAGUGUACAGGUCUAGGAUUUUUGAGAAACACAUAUUCAUAUGUGACCACCCCCAUGAUCAACAUAUGGAACAGUCAUUUGCCACCCAAAA